rnacentral:rRNA from 1 species
AUGUGCGUAAGUUCAUCAUCAUAUUUUUUGGACGACAUCUUGGUAUUCAGCACUGACCUGCAGGAACACGAGGAACAUCUUUGCCUCACUCUGCAACUUCUCCGCGAGCAUCAACUAUUUGCCAAGGCCAGCAAGUGUUCGUUCGCACAAACAAGCAUUGAAUACCUCGGGCAUGUGAUCUCACAAGAGGGAGUUGCUACGGACAACAGCAAGACCAGCGCCAUGCAGUCCUGGCCCGUGCCCACCACGCCCACGGAGCUGCGGGGCUUCUUGGGGCUGACGGGCUACUACCAUAAAUUCUUUCCCCAUUACGGCAUCAUCGCCAAGCCCCUGAUGCAACUGUUGACGAAGAAAGGGUUUCUCUGGGACGACAAGGCGCAGCAAGCCUUCGACAUGCUCAAGCGCGCCAUGGUGAGCACGCCAGUGUUGGCGCUGCCCAACUUCACGUGCCCGUUCGCCAUCGAAACGGAUGCGUGCGAUACCGGCGUGGGCGCGGUGCUUAUGCAAGAUGGCCAUCCAAUGGCCUACCUCAGCAAGGCCCUGGGAGUAUGCAAUCAGAAGCUAUCCACAUAUGAGAAGGAAUUUCUCGCCGUCAUGAUGGCCAUCGACAAGUGGCGGCCGUACCUGCAGCGUGCUCCAUUUGAGAUCGUUACUGACCACAAGAGUCUCUGUGCACUGGAUGAUCAACAACUGGUAACCGAUCUCCAGCGCAAAGCCAUGUCCAAGAUGGUGGGGCUGCAGUUCUCCUUCCGCUACAAGAAGGGCGUCGACAACAAUGCUGCCGAUGUGAUGUCUCGCGUCGGCCACCUCCUGCAGCUCGACGCACUGUCCAUGUGCCAACCGCAAUGGCUGCAAGAAGUUGCCAAUUCCUAUGAGACCGACCCCGACUCUCAAGAGCUACUCACCAAGCUGGCUGUCAUCAACACUGACGAUCAAGGGCGCACCCUGCAGCAAGGCGUAAUCCGGCAACGCGGUCGACUCUGGAUCGGUGCCAACUCAGCUCUUCAGACCAAACUCAUCGCUGCUCUCCACCAUAGCGCCGUGGGAGGUCACUCAGGCGCCACAGCAACAUAUCACAGAGUGCACAAACUUUUUGCCUGGCCGGGUCUGAAGCGUGCCGUUGAGGAUUUUGUUCGCCAAUGCACUGUCUGCCAGCAUGCCAAGCAUGAGAACACGCACCAGGCGGGCAAGCUCCAACCCCUCCCAAUACCUACAGCGCCAUGGCAAGACCUCAUCAAGGACUUCGUCGAGGGAUUACCCAAAUCUGAAGGGUACGACUCUAUCAUGGUCGUCGUCGAUCGCCUAACUAAGUUCGCGCACUUUGUGCCGCUCCGGCACCCCUUCACCGCGGUCCACGUCGCCCGUGCAUUUUGGGACAACGUCAUCAAGCUGCACGGCGUACCUCUCUCCAUCGUCUCUGAUCGGGACAAGAUCUUCACUAGCACCAUGUGGCGUGAACUGCUCGCCGCGGCCGGCACCAAGCUGCUGUACUCUACCGCUUAUCACCCGCAGACGGACGGGCAGACGGAGCGCGUCAACCAGUGCCUGGAGAUGUAUCUCUGGUGCGCCGUCCAUGACACCCCGCAUCGAUGGCGCAAGUGGCUGCCAGCAUCAGAGUUUUGGUACAACUCUUCCCACCACUCGUCUCUGAAGUGCUCCCCGUUCAAGGCGCUCUACGGCACUGAACCCAACCUGGGGGACCUUCCUCAACUCAGCUCCGCGCUGCCCAUCGACGCGUCCUCUGGGGACCUGGACUGGGCCGCGCACACCGACCUAUUGCGCGCGCAGCUCUCGCGCGCCCAGGCGCGUUUCAAGAAGCAGGCGGAUCGACACCGUGCUGAGCGCGCUUUCGAUGUGGGAGAGCAGGUUCUGCUCAAGCUCCAACCGUACGCUCAAUCUUCCGUCGUCAACCGCCCCUGCCGCAAGCUCUCAUACAAGUUCUAUGGCCCGUUCUUGGUGACCGAGCGCAUUGGCUCCCUGGCAUACCGACUGCAGUUGCCUCCGGACAACCGCGUCCAUCCGGUAUUCCACGUCUCCCAAUUGAAGCCUUUCCUUCCUGAUUAUACUCCAGUCUUUACUGAACUGCCCAGGGUACCGGACCUUGCCGCCGGCGAGUCUGAACCAAUCGCCAUCCGGGAUCGCCGCAUGAUGAAAAAGGGAGACGCUCCAGUCGUCCAAUUGCUUGUCCAGUGGGCCAACAUGCCACUGGCGGCCACUAUCUGGGAGGAUUACGACGUCCUACAGCAACGUUACCCGUCGGCUUGCAUCUGGGAGGAAGCUGCUUCUCAAGGAGGGGACAAUGUCACGCCUGCAGAUGAUACAUCCGCAGCGGACUGA